CGUCACGUUGGAACACCAGUUCCCGUACGAUCCCAGAAGUUAAGCAACGUCAGGUCUGCUCAGUACCUAGAUGGGUGAGCGCUUGGGAAUACCACGUGCUGUAAG